UUGACAAACGCACUACGAUCUGUUUGGGUGUGGGGUAAAUAAAUAAGUAAUUUCUUAUUGUUUUGCUGUACUGUUCCAAUGACUCCUGUACCUUAGGUACAGCAGUGUGUAGACAGUAGGACUCCUGUUCCUUAGGUACAGCAGUGUGUAGACAGUAGGACUCCUGUUCCUUAGGUACAGCAGUGUGUAGACAGUAGGACUCCUGUUCCUUAGGUACAGCAGUGUGUAGACAGUAGGACUCCUGUUCCUUAGGUACAGCAGUGUGUAGACAGUAGGACUCCUGUUCCUUAGGUACAGCAGUGUGUAGACAGUAGGACUCCUGUUCCUUAGGUACAGCAGUGUGUAGACAGUAGGACUCCUGUUCCUUAGGUACAGCAGUGUGUAGACAGUAGGACUCCUGUUCCUUAGGUACAGCAGUGUGUAGACAGUAGGACUCCUGUUCCUUAGGUACAGCAGUGUGUAGACAGUAGGACUCCUGUUCCUUAGGUACAGCAGUGUGUAGACAGUAGGACUCCUGUUCCUUAGGUACAGCAGUGUGUAGACAGUAGGACUCCUGUUCCUUAGGUACAGCAGUGUGUAGACAGUAGGACUCCUGUUCCUUAGGUACAGCAGUGUGUAGACAGUAGGACUCCUGUUCCUUAGGUACAGCAGUGUGUAGACAGUAGGACUCCUGUUCCUUAGGUACAGCAGUGUGUAGACAGUAGGCUGUACCUUCUACAGUAUUCUGAUAGCUCAGCAACUCUCCCAGUUCAAUGUAUGUGCUCUGACAUUUCAGCUAACAGUGAAGCA